rnacentral:rRNA from 1 species
GCGGCGUGCCUAACACAUGCAAGUCGAACGGAGUAGAAAAUGAAGCUUGCGAUUUUUAUACUUAGUGGCGGACGGGUGAGUAACGCGUGGAUAACCUGCCUGAUAGCCUGGGAUAACAGCUGGAAACGGCUGCUAAUACCGGAUACGCUCUUUGGGUCGCAUGGCUUAAAGAGGAAAGAUUUAUCACUAUCAGAUGGAUCCGCGUCCCAUUAGCUAGUUGGUGGUGUAGAGGACCACCAAGGCGACGAUGGGUAGCCGGCCUGAGAGGGCGAACGGCCACACUGGGACUGAGACACGGCCCAGACUCCUACGGGAGGCAGCAGUGGGGAAUCUUUCGCAAUGGGCGAAAGCCUGACGGAGCAACGCCGCGUGAGGGAAGAAGGCCUUCGGGUUGUAAACCUCUGUUUUCAGGGAAGAAAGAAAUGACGGUACCUGAAGAGUAAGCUCCGGCUAACUACGUGCCAGCAGCCGCGGUAAUACGUAGGGAGCAAGCGUUGUUCGGAAUUACUGGGCGUAAAGCGCACGUAGGCGGAUAUUUAAGUCAGGGGUGAAAUCCCGCAGCUCAACUGCGGAACUGCCUUUGAUACUGGGUAUCUUGAGUAUGGAAGAGGUAAGUGGAAUUCCGAGUGUAGAGGUGAAAUUCGUAGAUAUUCGGAGGAACACCAGUGGCGAAGGCGGCUUACUGGGCCUUAACUGACGCUGAGGCACGAAAGCGUGGGGAGCAAACAGGAUUAGCAUACCCUGGUAGUCCACGCCGUAAACGAUGGAUACUAGGUGUGGGGGGUCUGACCCCUUCCGUGCCGGAGUUAACACAAUAAGUAUCCCACCUGGGGAGUACGGCCGCAAGGUUGAAACUCAAAGGAAUUGACGGGGGCCCGCACAAGCAGUGGAGUAUGUGGUUUAAUUCGAAGCAACGCGAAGAACCUUACCAGGUCUUGACAUCCUACUAACGAAGC